rnacentral:rRNA from 1 species
GCCAGACUCCUACGGGAGGCAGCAGUGGGGAAUAUUGCAUAAUGGGGGAAACCCUGAUGCAGCGACGCCGCGUGAGUGAAGAAGUAAUUCGUUAUGUAAAGCUCUAUCAGCAGGGAAGAAAAUGACGGUACCUGAGUAAGAAGCCCCGGCUAACUACGUGCCAGCAGCCGCGGUAAUACGUAGGGGGCAAGCGUUAUCCGGAUUUACUGGGUGUAAAGGGAGCGUAGGUGGCAUGGCAAGCCAGAAGUGAAAACCCGGGGCUUAACCCCGCGGAUUGCUUUUGGAACUGUCAGGCUGGAGUGCAGGAGGGGCAGGCGGAAUUCCUGGUGUAGCGGUGAAAUGCGUAGAUAUCAGGAGGAACACCGGUGGCGAAGGCGGCCUGCUGGACUGUAACUGACACUGAGGCUCGAAAGCGUGGGGAGCAAACAGGAAUAGAUACCCGGGUACG